UUCAUCUUCUUAUUCUCGAGCACAUCUUUAUAUUCAAAAAUAUGCUUGAUAUGCCGAUCGUCCCUAGAGCAAGUGGCAAAGGACUUGAUGGUUGGUACCCAAGACCCAAAUUCGAAAUAUGCUUGAUAUACCGACCGUCCCUAGAGUAAGUGGCAAAGGGUUUGGUGGUUGAUACCCGAGACCCAAAUUCGAAUCCUAGUUGAUUCACAUUUCUUGCUAAGUUCAUUUUUAAAUGAAAUAAACGAAACAUAUAGCGUGCUAUCUAUCUCUCAAAAAAAUAUAUAUAUAUGCUUGAUAUAUCGUGUUC
rnacentral:lncRNA from 1 species